rnacentral:rRNA from 1 species
GACGAACGCUGGCGGCAUGCCUAAUACAUGCAAGUCGAGCGAACAGAUGGAGUGCUUGCACUUCUGACGUUAGCGGCGAACGGGUGAGUAACACGUAAGGAAUCUACCUAUAAGCGGGGGAUAACAUUCGGAAACGGGUGCUAAUACCGCAUAAUAUCUUCUUCCGCAUGGAAGAAGAUUGAAAGACGGCUCUGCUGUCACUUAUAGAUGACCUUGCGGUGCAUUAGUUAGUUGGUGGGGUAACGGCCUACCAAGACGAUGAUGCAUAGCCGACCUACUAGGGGGAUCGGCCCCAUUGGGACUGGGAAACGGGCCAAACUCCUACGGGAGGCAGCAGUAGGGAAUCUUCCCGAAUGGGCGAAAGGCUGACGGAGCAAUGCCGCGUGAGUGAAGAAGGCCUUCGGGUCGUAAAACUCUGUUAUAAGAGAAGAACAAAUUGUAGAGUAACUGCUACAGUCUUGACGGUAUCUUACCAGAAAGCCACGGCUAACUACGUGCCAGCCGCCGCAGUAA